rnacentral:rRNA from 1 species
GGGCCCGCACAAGCGGUGGAGCAUGUGGUUUAAUUCGAUGCAACGCGCAGAACCUUACCAACCCUUGACAUCCUGUGCUACAUUCAGAGAUGAAUGGUUCCCUUCGGGGACGCAGUGACAGGUGCUGCAUGGCUGUCGUCAGCUCGUGUCGUGAGAUGUUCGGUUAAGUCCGGCAACGAGCGCAACCCACAUCCCUAGUUGCCAGCAGUUCGGCUGGGCACUCUAUGGAAACUGCCCGUGAUAAGCGGGAGGAAGGUGUGGAUGACGUCAAGUCCUCAUGGCCCUUACGGGUUGGGCUACACACGUGCUACAAUGGUGGUGACAAUGGGUUAAUCCCAAAAAGCCAUCUCAGUUCGGAUUGGGGUCUGCAACUCGACCCCAUGAAGUCGGAAUC